rnacentral:rRNA from 1 species
AACGAACGCUGGCGGCAUGCCUAACACAUGCAAGUCGAACGAGACCUUCGGGUCUAGUGGCGCACGGGUGCGUAACGCGUGGGAAUCUGCCCUCUGGUUCGGAAUAACUCAGGGAAACUUGAGCUAAUACCGGAUAAUGGCUUCGGUCCAAAGAUUUAUCGCCUGAGGAUGAGCCCGAGUCGGAUUAGCUAGUUGGUGAGGUAAAGGCUCACCAAGGCGACGAUCCGUAGCUGGUCUGAGAGGAUGAUCAGCCACACUGGGACUGAGACACGGCCCAGACUCCUACGGGAGGCAGCAGUGGGGAAUAUUGGACAAUGGGCGAAAGCCUGACCCAGCAAUGCCGCGUGAGUGAUGAAGGCCUUAGGGUUGUAAAGCUCUUUUACCCGGGAUGAUAAUGACAGUACCGGGAGAAUAAGCCCCGGCUAACUCCGUGCCAGCAGCCGCUGUAACAC